rnacentral:rRNA from 1 species
GACGAACGCUGGCGGCGUGCUUAACACAUGCAAGUCGAACGGAAAGGCCCUGCUUUUGUGGGGUGCUCGAGUGGCGAACGGGUGAGUAACACGUGAGUAACCUGCCCUUGACUUUGGGAUAACUUCAGGAAACUGGGGCUAAUACCGGAUAGGAGCUCCUGCUGCAUGGUGGGGGUUGGAAAGUUUCGGCGGUCGGGGAUGGACUGGCGGCUUAUCAGCUUGUUGGUGGGGUAGUGGCUUACCAAGGCUUUGACGGGUAGCCGGCCUGAGAGGGUGACCGGCGACAAGGGGACUAAGAGACGGCCCAGACUGCUACGGUAGGCAGCAGUGGGGAGUAUUGCACAGUGGGCGGAAGCCUGAGGCAGCGACGCCGCGUGCGGGAUGACGGCCUUCGGGUUGUAAACCGCUUUCGCCUGUGACGAAGCGUGAGUGACGGUAAUGGGUAAAGAAGCACCGGCUAACUACGUG